AUACGUAGGGCGCGAGCGUUGUCCGGAAUUACUGGGUGUAAAGGGAGCGUAGGCGGGAGUGCAAGUCAGAUGUGAAAUCCAUGGGCUCAACCCAUGGGCUGCAUUUGAAACUGCAUUUCUUGAGUGAAGUAGAGGUAAGCGGAAUUCCUGGUGUAGCGGUGAAAUGCGUAGAUAUCAGGAGGAACACCGGUGGCGAAGGCGGCUACUGGGCUUUUACUGACGCUGAGGCUCGAAAGCGUGGGGAGCAAACAGGAUUAGAUACCCUGGUAGUCCACGCUGUAAACGAUGAUUACUAGGUGUGGGGGGACUGACCCCUUCCGUGCCGCAGUUAACACAAUAAGUAAUCCACCUGGGGAGUACGGCCGCAAGGUUGAAACUCAAAUGAAUUGACGGGG
rnacentral:rRNA from 1 species